UACGUAGGGGGCAAGCGUUGUUCGGAAUUACUGGGCGUAAAGGGCGCGUAGGCGGCACGGCAAGUCAGGAGUGAAAGCCCGGGGCUCAACCCCGGAAUGUCUUUUGAAACUGCCGAGCUAGAGUGCGGAAGAGGCAACUGGAAUUCCCAGUGUAGCGGUGAAAUGCGUAGAUAUUGGGAAGAACACCUGAGGCGAAGGCGGGUUGCUGGGCCGACACUGACGCUGAUGCGCGAAAGCCAGGGGAGCGAACGGG
rnacentral:rRNA from 1 species